AUAUGAACCGUUAUAACCGGCGAUUUCCGAAUGGGGAAACCCAGUGUGAUUCGUCACACUAUCAUUAACUGAAUCCAUAGGUUAAUGAGGCGAACCGGGGGAACUGAAACAUCUAAGUACCCCGAGGAAAAGAAAUCAACCGAGAUUCCCCCAGUAGCGGCGAGCGAACGGGGAGGAGCCCAGAGCCUGAAUCAGUGUGUGUGUUAGUGGAAGCGUCUGGAAAGGCGUGCGAUACAGGGUGACAGCCCCGUACACAAAAAUGCACAUACUGUGAGCUCGAUGAGUAGGGCGGGACACGUGGUAUCCUGUCUGAAUAUGGGGGGACCAUCCUCCAAGGCUAAAUACUCCUGACUGACCGAUAGUGAACCAGUACCGUGAGGGAAAGGCGAAAAGAACCCCGGCGAGGGGAGUGAAAAAGAACCUGAAACCGUGUACGUACAAGCAGUGGGAGCCUCUUAAUGGGGUGACUGCGUACCUUUUGUAUAAUGGGUCAGCGACUUAUAUUCUGUAGCAAGGUUAACCGAAUAGGGGAGCCGAAGGGAAACCGAGUCUUAACUGGGCGUUAAGUUGCAGGGUAUAGACCCGAAACCCGGUGAUCUAGCCAUGGGCAGGUUGAAGGUUGGGUAACACUAACUGGAGGACCGAACCGACUAAUGUUGAAAAAUUAGCGGAUGACUUGUGGCUGGGGGUGAAAGGCCAAUCAAACCGGGAGAUAGCUGGUUCUCCCCGAAAGCUAUUUAGGUAGCGCCUCGUGAAUUCAUCUCCGGGGGUAGAGCACUGUUUCGGCAAGGGGGUCAUCCCGACUUACCAACCCGAUGCAAACUGCGAAUACCGGAGAAUGUUAUCACGGGAGACACACGGCGGGUGCUAACGUCCGUCGUGAAGAGGGAAACAACCCAGACCGCCAGCUAAGGUCCCAAAGUCAUGGUUAAGUGGGAAACGAUGUGGGAAGGCCCAGACAGCCAGGAUGUUGGCUUAGAAGCAGCCAUCAUUUAAAGAAAGCGUAAUAGCUCACUGGUCGAGUCGGCCUGCGCGGAAGAUGUAACGGGGCUAAACCAUGCACCGAAGCUGCGGCAGCGACACUAUGUGUUGUUGGGUAGGGGAGCGUUCUGUAAGCCUGUGAAGGUGUACUGUGAGGUAUGCUGGAGGUAUCAGAAGUGCGAAUGCUGACAUAAGUAACGAUAAAGCGGGUGAAAAGCCCGCUCGCCGGAAGACCAAGGGUUCCUGUCCAACGUUAAUCGGGGCAGGGUGAGUCGACCCCUAAGGCGAGGCCGAAAGGCGUAGUCGAUGGGAAACAGGUUAAUAUUCCUGUACUUGGUGUUACUGCGAAGGGGGGACGGAGAAGGCUAUGUUGGCCGGGCGACGGUUGUCCCGGUUUAAGCGUGUAGGCUGGUUUUCCAGGCAAAUCCGGAAAAUCAAGGCUGAGGCGUGAUGACGAGGCACUACGGUGCUGAAGCAACAAAUGCCCUGCUUCCAGGAAAAGCCUCUAAGCAUCAGGUAACAUCAAAUCGUACCCCAAACCGACACAGGUGGUCAGGUAGAGAAUACCAAGGCGCUUGAGAGAACUCGGGUGAAGGAACUAGGCAAAAUGGUGCCGUAACUUCGGGAGAAGGCACGCUGAUAUGUAGGUGAAGUCCCUCGCGGAUGGAGCUGAAAUCAGUCGAAGAUACCAGCUGGCUGCAACUGUUUAUUAAAAACACAGCACUGUGCAAACACGAAAGUGGACGUAUACGGUGUGACGCCUGCCCGGUGCCGGAAGGUUAAUUGAUGGGGUUAGCGGUAACGCGAAGCUCUUGAUCGAAGCCCCGGUAAACGGCGGCCGUAACUAUAACGGUCCUAAGGUAGCGAAAUUCCUUGUCGGGUAAGUUCCGACCUGCACGAAUGGCGUAAUGAUGGCCAGGCUGUCUCCACCCGAGACUCAGUGAAAUUGAACUCGCUGUGAAGAUGCAGUGUACCCGCGGCAAGACGGAAAGACCCCGUGAACCUUUACUAUAGCUUGACACUGAACAUUGAGCCUUGAUGUGUAGGAUAGGUGGGAGGCUUUGAAGUGUGGACGCCAGUCUGCAUGGAGCCGGCCUUGAAAUACCACCCUUUAAUGUUUGAUGUUCUAACGUUGGCCCCUGACCGGGGUUGCGGACAGUGUCUGGUGGGUAGUUUGACUGGGGCGGUCUCCUCCUAAAGAGUAACGGAGGAGCACGAAGGUUGGCUAAUCCUGGUCGGACAUCAGGAGGUUAGUGCAAUGGCAUAAGCCAGCUUGACUGCGAGCGUGACGGCGCGAGCAGGUGCGAAAGCAGGUCAUAGUGAUCCGGUGGUUCUGAAUGGAAGGGCCAUCGCUCAACGGAUAAAAGGUACUCCGGGGAUAACAGGCUGAUACCGCCCAAGAGUUCAUAUCGACGGCGGUGUUUGGCACCUCGAUGUCGGCUCAUCACAUCCUGGGGCUGAAGUAGGUCCCAAGGGUAUGGCUGUUCGCCAUUUAAAGUGGUACGCGAGCUGGGUUUAGAACGUCGUGAGACAGUUCGGUCCCUAUCUGCCGUGGGCGCUGGAGAACUGAGGGGGGCUGCUCCUAGUACGAGAGGACCGGAGUGGACGCAUCACUGGUGUUCGGGUUGUCAUGCCAAUGGCACUGCCCGGUAGCUAAAUGCGGAAGAGAUAAGUGCUGAAAGCAUCUAAGCACGAAACUUGCCCCGAGAUGAGUUCUCCCUGACUCCUUGAGAGUCCUGAAGGAACGUUGAAGACGACGACGUUGAUAGGCCGGGUGUGUAAGCGCAGCGAUGCGUUGAGCUAACCGGUACUAAUGAACCGUGAGGCUUAACCUU
rnacentral:rRNA from 1 species